rnacentral:lncRNA from 1 species
GCCAGAGAGGGAGAACCAAUCAGGAAAAGAGGAUGCAGCAGGCUGGGAUUCUUCUUGCAAGGGAAACUGAAGCUUUAGUCUGGGCAGGCAGCGAGCUGGACUGGUAUCGGAGGAAAAGAAGUCUCUACUUUGGCCGCUGCUGUUUGAGUGUGUCUCCCAGCACCAUAAGGCACAGCCAGAUGGGCUGCCGUUGGUUGCAAGCCUGGAAGAGUCAGAAAGAAACCUGAGGCUGUCAAGGAAGCUUGAAGGUGGGUCUUCAACUCUGGGCCCAGAAGGAGCAUCACCUCCACCUGGCCUUGUCUGGUUCAUCUACAGCC